GAUGAACGCUGGCGGCGUGCCUAAUACAUGCAAGUCGAGCGAACGGACGAGAAGCUUGCUUCUCUGAUGUUAGCGGCGGACGGGUGAGUAACACGUGGAUAACCUACCUAUAAGACUGGGAGAACUUCGGGAAACCGGAGCUAAUACCGGAUAAUAUUUUGAACCGCAUGGUUCAAAAGUGAAAGACGGUCUUGCUGUCACUUAUAGAUGGAUCCGCGCUGCAUUAGCUAGUUGGUAAGGUAACGGCUUACCAAGGCAACGAUGCAUAGCCGACCUGAGAGGAUGAUCGGCCACACUGGAACUGAGACACGGUCCAGACUCCUACGGGAGGCAGCAGUAGGGAAUCUUCCGCAAUGGGCGAAAGCCUGACGGAGCAACGCCGCGUGAGUGAUGAAGGUCUUCGGAUCGUAAAACUCUGUUAUUAGGGAAGAACAUAUGUGUAAGUAACUGUGCACAUCUUGACGGUACCUAAUCAGAAAGCCCCGGCUAACUACGUG
rnacentral:rRNA from 1 species